rnacentral:tRNA from 1 species
GCGCCGGUGGUGUAAAGGCGUAGAGCAUUCCCGCCCGGUCAGAGGGAGGUGCGGGUUCGAUUCCCGCCUGGCGCU